rnacentral:lncRNA from 1 species
UAGAAUUCAGCUUUGCUCGUCGUGGAUCUUUAUUAUCGCUUACGUACGGUUUCUGCAUUUUUCGUUCUCUGUAUUUUCAUAAAAAGAGUAGCAUAUUGUCAAUGCUUUUCAGCAGUAGCUUCUACAUCCACCUGGAAAGCCAGAAUUGGUUAAUGCUAAUCACGGCGAUACAACAAAAGGGAAAAGGAUAACUUAUCUAAUCUAGCAAAUCAAAC